AAAUUGAAGAGUUUGAUCAUGGCUCAGAUUGAACGCUGGCGGCAGGCCUAACACAUGCAAGUCGAACGGUAACAGGAAGCAGCUUGCUGCUUCGCUGACGAGUGGCGGACGGGUGAGUAAUGUCUGGGAAGCUGCCUGAUGGAGGGGGAUAACUACUGGAAACGGUGGCUAAUACCGCAUAACGUCGCAAGACCAAAGAGGGGGACCUUCGGGCCUCUUGCCAUCAGAUGUGCCCAGAUGGGAUUAGCUAGUUGGUGAGGUAACGGCUCACCAAGGCGACGAUCCCUAGCUGGUCUGAGAGGAUGACCAGCCACACUGGAACUGAGACACGGUCCAGACUCCUACGGGAGGCAGCAGUGGGGAAUAUUGCACAAUGGGCGCAAGCCUGAUGCAGCCAUGCCGCGUGUAUGAAGAAGGCCUUAGGGUUGUAAAGUACUUUCAGCGGGGAGGAAGGUGUUGCGGUUAAUAACCGCAGCAAUUGACGUUACCCGCAGAAGAAGCACCGGCUAACUCCGUGCCAGCAGCCGCGGUAAUACGGAGGGUGCAAGCGUUAAUCGGAAUUACUGGGCGUAAAGCGCACGCAGGCGGUCUGUCAAGUCGGAUGUGAAAUCCCCGGGCUCAACCUGGGAACUGCAUUCGAAACUGGCAGGCUUGAGUCUUGUAGAGGGGGGUAGAAUUCCAGGUGUAGCGGUGAAAUGCGUAGAGAUCUGGAGGAAUACCGGUGGCGAAGGCGGCCCCCUGGACAAAGACUGACGCUCAGGUGCGAAAGCGUGGGGAGCAAACAGGAUUAGAUACCCUGGUAGUCCACGCCGUAAACGAUGUCUACUUGGAGGUUGUGCCCUUGAGGCGUGGCUUCCGGAGCUAACGCGUUAAGUAGACCGCCUGGGGAGUACGGCCGCAAGGUUAAAACUCAAAUGAAUUGACGGGGGCCCGCACAAGCGGUGGAGCAUGUGGUUUAAUUCGAUGCAACGCGAAGAACCUUAC
rnacentral:rRNA from 1 species